ACGGGAGGCAGCAGUGGGGAAUAUUGCACAAUGGGGGAAACCCUGAUGCAGCGACGCCGCGUGAGUGAAGAAGUAUUUCGGUAUGUAAAGCUCUAUCAGCAGGAAAGAAAAUGACGGUACCUGACUAAGAAGCCCCGGCUAACUACGUGCCAGCAGCCGCGGUAAUACGUAGGGGGCAAGCGUUAUCCGGAUUUACUGGGUGUAAAGGGAGCGUAGACGGUAAGGCAAGUCUGAAGUGAAAUGCCAGGGCUCGACCCUGGAACUGCUUUGGAAACUGUCCUACUAGAGUGCAGGAGAGGUAAGUGGAAUUCCUAGUGUAGCGGUGAAAUGCGUAGAUAUUAGGAGGAACACCAGUGGCGAAGGCGGCUUACUGGACUGUAACUGACGUUGAGGCUCGAAAGCGUGGGGAGCAAACAGGAUUAGAUACCCUGGUA
rnacentral:rRNA from 1 species